rnacentral:misc_RNA from 1 species
GUAGGUGAACCUGCGGAAGGAUCAUUAUCGAGUUCUUGCCCUCCGGGGUAGAUCUCCACCCUUGCUUAUUUACUCUGUUGCUUUGGCGGGCCCGUCCUGCUUGGCCGCCGGCUCCGGCUGGCGCGUGCCCGUCAGAGACCCACACACGCUAUUCUUGUGUUGUCUGAGUCCCAUAUAAUUAUUAAAACUUUCAACAACGGAUCUCUUGGUUCUG